rnacentral:piRNA from 1 species
UGGCAGGCCAUCUGUGACGUGAAAGCGUUU